rnacentral:rRNA from 1 species
GGUAGUCCACGCCGUAAACGAUGGGCACUAGAUGUGGGCGGUGUCGACUCCGUCCGUGUCGAAGCUAACGCAUUAAGUGCCCCGCCUGGGGAGUACGGCCGCAAGGCUAAAACUCAAAGGAAUUGACGGGGCCCGCACAAGCAGCGGAGCAUGUGGUUUAAUUCGACGCAACGCGAAGAACCUUACCUGGGCUUGACAUGUCCGUGUAAACCCUGGAAACAGGGGUCCCUCUUCGGGAGCGCGGUCACAGGUGGUGCAUGGCUGUCGUCAGCUCGUGUCGUGAGAUGUUGGGUUAAG